UGUCUCCACUAAGUCCUUUUUGAAAUAGUCUUAGAUUUGAAUAGAAAUCUUGAUAUACUGUGACGGAGAGACCCCGUGCACCUUUACU
rnacentral:rRNA from 1 species